AUGGUGGUGACCCUGUGGUCGAUAUGGUUUGCACGAAGACAAGCUAUCCACGAAGGUAUAUUCCAAUCGCCGGGGCAAACGUCAUCGUUCGUCGAGCGCUACAUAUCUGAACUAAGUCAGGUUCCAUCCCAAGGGGCUAGGAACAACCCUGCCGCGGGGGGUCGACAGAACGCACCUCAGCAAUGGCUACCAUCGCUAGAGGGAGUAGUCAAAAUCAACGUUGAUGGCGCCUUGGGGCGCAGCAGAAGAGGAGGUGCAGUCGCCGCGGUGUGCCGUGAUCAUACUGGGACGUACCUUGGUUCAUCCGCAGUGGUGUUCAAUGGAAUCAGAGACCCAACAAUCCUCGAAACUUAUGCAUGCAGGGAAGCCAUGGCUCUGGCGGAUGGUCUUCUAGAACGGAGAAUAAAAGUAGCGUCGGAUUGCUUGGGAGUGGUUAACGACAUCAACAAGGGGACGGGAGGAGCACAUGCUGCCAUUGUUGAUGAAAUAUCAAGUCAUUGUAAUAGUUUUGAUUUAUGUUCUUUUGUUCAUGAGACUAGAAACCACAACUUCGAGGCUCAUAACCUCGCCAAAUUUGAUUGUAAUCUGAAUGUAGAUAGGCACGUAUGGCUUGGUAAUCCCCAUGACCCAGCACGUGUGCCUAUGAACAUCUUUGGAUGA
rnacentral:rRNA from 1 species